UCAUAUUAUUGUUUAUAUGAAGAUUAAUAAGAUUAAAGUAAACAAUGUGGUAUGUUUCCAAAAUAAAAGCUAUCCACCAAUGACCAACUGAUGUCGAUGCAAUUACUAGCCAUACAAAUGAUACAUACAUGUUGGUCACCAUACUUCCUUUAUUUAUAUUAUGACUAUUGAGUAAAUUUUUGCAAACAUUUCAAACCUGUACAUGUACAUGCUGUUUAUGUACAUAGUACUACAGUUCAGUGACUCAAGUUUAAAAUGCAUAAGCUUAAGGUCAUAACAGAAUUUAAACUUACUAUCAUAUUUGUAUAAACAUCAUGAUGAAUAUUUACAUUCUCUAAAAGAGUUUUAAUUUUACUUAACUAAUACAGAAGAUGAUGGAUUCCCCAACAGAAAUCUUGAUGACGGAUCAAGGUGAAAAAAAUUGAAGAAUUGCAUCAAUAGUUACAGAGAAUCGAUUUGCACGCAGAAACAGGUGCUCAAAGAUAAGGGAAUACAACAGCCAUCCAUGCUCCUUCCAUGUAAAGUAAGCAGCUGUCCGUGAUGCUUAUAGGCAUACACGAUCUAGUCUGGGCAUGUAAAACAGCAGCUGGUUCUAUUUUGAAAAUCUACAAAAUAGAGCUAAGGUCCUUUAAGCCAAGAAACUGCUAGUAUCUGAAGAGGACAAUUUAAGACAGGCCAUGAAAAUUGAUUAAAUGUCAAGUGGGAACAGUGAUUCUGUAAAUAAACUCGCCUGAUCACAAAACUUCAGAUUUGACUGUCACAAGAUUUUAAAUCUUACAUGGAUAGACUAAAGUCAUUUACUAGACUGUAAAUACUAGAGACAGCUGAAUGCACAAGGCAAAAAGCUGAGGUCUAAGUGAAUCAGAGAGGCCUUGUCACAAGAAAUGUACAGAACUUGCAUGGUUUUUUUUCCUUAAGGGCAUAUGACAAAAAAAUUGAGAGAUGUCAAUGAAAAUUUCUUUGAAUUUAAAAAAGGGCCAAUUCAAAGGUACACUUUUGGAAUUUGCAAGAACAAAAAUACCUUCAUGUUUACUUUUGAAUUAUAGUUGACAAUCUUCACUUUGAGGGGAACCUCUGAAAAUAAGUCAAAUGGAGGGGUUUGCCAGGUUUAUUGAAAUCAAUUAUUUUUGAAAGUAAAACAGAUGAAUUAUUGCUCUUUAAUUUCAACAUUUGCAUUUUACUAUAAAUAUUAUUUAUAAGUGCAGCAUAUCGGUGACAUCAGAUUAUGGUAUUGUGUUUGGUUAAGCUACAUAUUUCUUUUUACGUAAACUUUCUGUUGCCUUUACUGGUUAAUAAAAUGCUGAAUAAUAAUUUGAGUGUGGCUCAUUUCAGUGUCUAGUAUUUGCUGUCAAUUUUUGUGAUGAUUUUACCAUAUUAUUUAUAAUGGCUUGGCCAAAGGGAGAUAACUUUUUAUAUUUUCACAUUAAAAUGCUGGAUAAUAAUUUGAGUGUGGCUCAUUUCAGUGUCCAGUAUUUGCUGUCAAUUUUUGUGAUGAUUUUACCAUAUUAUUUAUAAUGGCUUGGCCAAAGGGAGAUAACUUUUCAUAUUUUCACAUUAAAAUGCUGAAUAAUAAUUUGAGUGUGGCUCAUUUCAGUGUCUAGUAUUUGCUGUCAAUUUUUGUGAUGAUUUUACCAUAUCAUUUAUAAUGGCUUGGCCAAAGAAAGAUUACUUUUUAUAUUUUCACAUUAAAAUGCUGAAUAAUAAUUUGAGUGUGGCUCAUUUCAGUGUCUAGUAUUUGCUGUCACUUUUUUCCUGUAAAAUUUCACCAUAUUAUUUAUAAUCGCUUGGUCAAAGGGAGAUAACUUUUUAUAUUUUCACAUUAAAUCAUCUGCGAAGAGGAUUAUGUAAAAUGUGAAUUUUAUGGUUCAAUAAAAGCAAAAUAAGUUACUGCCAUUCAUUAUCAAUCAAUUUCAAUAAAAAAUAAGGCUCAAAGAACUUUUAUAUUACUUAUAUUAACAAUAACAAUGUACACAUGUGUUGACGUGUUAAUACACAACAUCAGAGUGGGUGUGUCACCAUAAAAUGUAAACAUUGAAAAUAAAACUGAUACUUUUAACUAAUCAGGAAACAGUUAAUACACCACAUAUAUUUUUAAACCUAUAAACUUAUUAUUUUCUUCAAUUGUUUAAGUUCAUUCAGUAUUGAUAAAUUUUUGAUUGACAUUACAUAAUUUUGUUAAUAAAAGUUUAUUUGUGUGCUAUUUUAUUUAAUUGUACAUAUUUGAAAUAUAACAUUACACCUUAUUAUUUUUAUUCUUGCAUACAGCACUUGGAAUGAAAUCUCAUACCAUUUUAAUUAAAAUGUUCCAGCAGCAGGAUUGUUUUUGAAUUUAGCAAUUAUGUUGAUUAUGUAAAUAACGUAAUGUUUUUUGUUUUUUGCUUUUUGAAGUUUUUAAAAUUGACAAAUAAUGCUAGCAAGGGACAUUAUUAUUAUUUAUCUUUUUAUGAUGCCAAACUUGAAAUUUUAAAGUGGCUAUGUUUGCUAUUUGUUAUAACCCUAUUGUUAUGAUUCUGAAACCAUCUAUACAAGUAAGCAUUUUGAUUUGUCACUUACCAUUAUUUUAUUGAUUAGUUUGAAUUUGAUGAGGUUCUUCGAUGUAGAACUGGACUUAUUUAAACAAAAAAUGUUUUUUUUUAAUUGUUUGAUAGUAAAAUUGUAUUUCAAACAUUUGACAUUUUAUUUAAUUUAUCAUCAAAACAACUCUUAUUUGUCAGUAUCUGAAUAAAAUUAAUUUGUUA